AACCCAUGGAUUGUCGAAGUAUGGUUUUUUGGUGCUUGUUAUGUGUUGCUCACAGCUAUUGAGUAUUUUUUUUCUCUCUUUCUCGUUGCUUUUGUCAGUCUCGGAUACGCAUAUACAGUGUUAAUACAAUUGGUCUGUUUGAACGUAUCAACGCAGCUCUCGCAUUUGCGACACUCUUACAAUACACAACAAAAGUGAGGUGAAGGAGGAAGCAAAUUAAAUAAAAAACAUAUAGACGAAACCGAAGCAAAAGAAAAAAAAAACACACCGAAUCAUACACAUCAGAAUUAAAUUCAAAAGGAAUAGACCCAUAAAGUUACGAGAAGGCAGCGAAUAGUUUUCAAAGCCAUUUUCGCGCAACAUAAGUAACAUUUUCGAGUGCGACCGUGUGAAGUUAAUUGAAAGUAGAAAAGAAAAAAAAAAGUUUGCAUAACAAAGAAAUCGCAUUGCCAGCAUAUUGAAUAACCAUGUUUCGUCCAUAUUAAAAUCGCAGAAAAAUCGUACAGAAAAAAAUACAGGCAGGAUACGUGAAAAGAGGCAAAUUUUCAUGGAAUUCAAUUGGUUGGCUCUACAUCGAGUUCGGGGUGCCCCAAAUACUCACGACAUUCAAGUGAUACGGAAAUAAUUUUUCUUUCUCUCACAUUCGUCGCUUGAUCGGGAUUUCAAGGCAUUCAAUUUAAAACUGUGCUGAGUGUGUAUCGCGGAUAGCAAAAAAAAGAUAUGAAAUGUGAAAAGUGACGAGAAAAAAAACCUCCGAAGUCGCAAUUUUGAUAGACAAAAAGAGCAGCAGCAGCAGCAGUAGCAAAUACAUACGCACUUGUAAAGAAGUGAUUAAUCGACGACCGAAAUUGGAUUCGCUUUGUUCUCUUGCUCUCCGUCUGAGCGUGUAUGUACAUGUGUUUGUGUGUGGAACAACCACCAAAUUUCCAAAUUCAAUAUAGAAAAACCUCUCCGUAUCCAUCAUAUUGAGAGAGUGUGAAAAGUGUUGUGCAUUCAUAAUAUUUUUUCUUCUUUCAAAAAUGUAGUGCCAUCGUGUGCAUAAAAAAUUGUUUUUUUUGGGGAACAAACAAAAAAAAAGUUGAAUAUACACAAGAAAAAUAUUAUACAUACGUAGAAAAUGAGCGAACAGUGAAGGUGGAACAUAAAGUAAAUAAGAAAAAGCUACUUUCGUGUACAGUGUAUUGAGUGAGUGAGUGCUGUAGAUAUUACUCACUUUACACGUACACAUAGACAAAGCGAGCUGCUGUAGACAUCGUCUGAAACAUCAACACCAACCACGACGACGACGGCAACAGCAACGACGACGACGGACAUUCACAUCGUUAUACCGAGUGUACAUAGCAGAAGCAACGCAUAUUCGGAGCUCAUACUCGUUGCGUUUGUGCAUAAGCACCGACUCUCCGAAUACACGAAAAAAAUUGAAAAAAAAAAUCGAGUUCGUUUUACCACCGAUUCACAUAACCCAUUCGAAACGGACCAAUUGAAUUUUAGAAUAUACAUUGAAUGAACUCGAAAAACCGUACUGCAAAUCACACUCCGACGCAAUUGUUUUUCUCUUUCUUUCUUUCGUGAAAUCAUAAUAACAUUAACCACAAAUGAAUUGCAAAAGAAACGAAUGAAAUAAUAAACGAAGAAAUAGAAGAGUGGAAUACAAGCAGCGCGCAUAUAUAUAUAAUCGACAAAGCAGCAGCAACAAGAAAAAAAAAGAAGAAAAAAUCAUUCGGAAUCGAAGAAAAACAACGGCAGUGCAAAAACUAAAUUUAGUGCGACACUACGAAGACAACACGGCGAAAUGGCAUGCCUCAACACAUUGAAACUGGAGAUAAAAACGCUAGAACGAACAUUCACAAAAAACCACGAACGUUUUCGAAUUUUGCAUGCCAGCGUCGACGAGCUAACCUGUCGAUUUAUUGGGAAAAAUGGCAAAAACUACGACAUCCAUGCAAACAUCACUGAGACAUAUCCAUCGACGCCACCGGUAUGGUUUGCCGAAAGCGAAGAGACCAGCAUUACGAGUGCCGUUCAAAAGCUUAGCACAACAGAAGGUCAAAAUAAUCACGUUUUGAAUCAAGUGAAUAUUUUGUUACGUGAAUUGUGCGAUUUGCAUAAUGUUCCGUCGCCAAGUGAAUUGGAUACCCUAAUGUUACCGCCAAAUGCCGAUUUUUUCCGAGCAACAUUUCAUCAGCACAGCGAACAGGCCGCUGUUGAGGACAGUGAUGCUGAAGAGAUCGAGGAUGCGACCCUUGAAUCGGAGCCAGAGAGUGAAGUAGACGAAGAUUUGUCAUUGGAAAUGGAUGAUGGACGCAAUGCGAACAAGAAGGACGAAAUGGAUAUGGAACAUUUGGCCACGUUAGAAAGACUUCGUCAAAGUCAACGUCAAGACUAUUUGAAGGGAUCUGUCAGUGGGUCAGUGCAGGCAACGGAUCGCCUUAUGAAAGAAUUACGUGAUAUCUACCGUUCGGAGUCGUUUAAAAGUAACAUGUAUUCCAUUGAGCUGGUCAACGAUUCAAUAUACGAAUGGAAUAUUCGCUUGCGUUCCGUCGAUCCGGACAGUCCGCUCUACAAUGAUUUAGUACAGUUGAAAGAGAAGGAAGGAAAGGACAGCAUCCUAUUAAAUAUUAUGUUCAAGGAAACGUACCCAUUUGAGCCACCAUUCGUUCGUGUCGUUUAUCCAAUUAUUUCAGGUGGUUAUGUUUUACUGGGUGGAGCAAUUUGUAUGGAAUUGCUGACGAAGCAAGGAUGGAGUUCAGCCUACACUGUUGAAGCGGUCAUAAUGCAAAUUGCGGCUACUCUAGUCAAAGGAAAAGCACGCAUUUUGUUCGGUUCACAGACCAAGGUUCUCUCACAAGGUCAAUACAGUUUGGCGAGAGCUCAACAAAGUUUCAAAAGUUUAGUGCAAAUACACGAGAAAAAUGGUUGGUUCACACCACCGAAAGAAGAUGGCUGAAUGCGUUCAUCAUCAAAUUCUAUUCUCCCGCAAACGUUUAAGUUCGAUUGUUCAUUUUCCUAUCCAUUAUUUCCGCAAAUGUAUCCAACGAAAUCCUUAAAGCAAACUUACCGAAACAUCCAAAUCACAAUUCGAAGAAAAAAAAAUAAAAAUAAAAAUAGAAAUCACAUACACUCCUCCAGGAAACUAAGACAACAAAAAAACGUAUAUCCAAAUGAACCAGAUAAACCAAUUCAUAAUACACACAACAACACAACCACAAACAUAGCAAUCAGAUGUAUUGAAAACUGCAACAAUAUGGCGAACAUUCUUGAAAAACACACAACUACUUCAUAAGGAAAAUCUGUCAACAAAGAUGAUAUGUAUAUAACUAUAAAAUGGAACUUAGAUGUAUUUUAGACGAACCACAGAAAAUGCGAUUAAAAAUUAUAUUAAUUUUUAGAGAUGAAAAGAAAAUACAAGUAAAAUAAAACAACAACACAAAUAAAACAAAA